rnacentral:lncRNA from 1 species
GCCUUAAGUGAAUACUGGGAAACAUUCAUGAGGAAGUGCACAAGUGGGACCAUGAAAAUUCCCAUGACAUGAAGGACUCAUGGGAAAUUGUUGCAAAAGUGAUGAUCCUUGGCUAUAACAUGGUAGGCUACUUCCCUUUAGCGUUGGCCAAGCCAUUUCUGCAACACUGUCUUGGAGAACAGAUCAAAUCUGAAGACUUCUUGGCAACAUUUUUGGAGUCUAUACCAAGUGAGGAAAAGGUAAUCGUCGAACAGUCAAUCCAAGAUUGCUCGUCAGUUGCUGGGAGCACAUGAUGUCAAGAUUCUGAUCAAUGAGAUGAACUGGCAGAAGAUGCUACUUGAAGUCACCCACAAAGAAAUCAUAUCCUGCCUACAUUGCUGAGUGCUGGAACAGCGUACUGAAAAGGUUGAAACUGCAUCUUGGGGGUUUUGACUAGGUUCUCGGGAGCCUCGUGCCAGAGUUGCUGCAGCUGUUAAACACGAUACCUUAAUCAAGAGGGAACAAACGAUCAUGGAUUUUUUAAAAGAAGUACAUCCAUAACUGCUCAACUAACUGCCUAAAGCAAUUUCUCAGAUUUUGCACAGGUAAUAUCAAUGUUGAACAAUGAUAAUUAAGUAGCCCACCACCUAGCGUGUGUUUUGUUUGAUAUUGCUUCUAUGGAGGUUAAAUGCAAAUGUAAUUUACUGUUUCUCUGUUAUGUCUUACUUUCUUAUACAAGUGCAGAUGUCCUUGUGUCUUUAUACAGGUGCAGAUGUCCUUGUGUCUUUAUACAGGUGCAGAUGUCCUUGUGUCUUUAAACAGGUGCAGAUGUCCUUGUGUCUUUAUACAGGUGCGGAUGUCCUUGUGUCUUUAUACAGGUGCCGAUGUCAUUGUGUCUUCACCCAUUCACAUCUACUUUGUUGAGCCCAAGAGUGACUUUGUGAGAAGCCCCAAUCACACACCUGCGGAUGUGUUUUGGAGAUCCCCCAACACCUACACAUCAUACCUUGAGAUGCCAGAGGAAUUCACCCAGGUCCUGGAUUCCAAGUGUGGGUGAUGGACAUCAUUUAAAUGCUACCUGACCCAAUUAUGUUGACAACACAUUCAACAACUACAUUCACAAUGUUAUGUUUUACCCUGUCUUACUUUCUUCAACUGGCGCACAUGUCCUUGUGUUGAAACUAAGAGUAACUUUGGAAGAAGCCCCCAAGACUGCUGAAGAACACACACAUGCUGUACACAAUGCCAUUGUCCCCAUCCUUGACUUUUCUUUAAAACACACUGACAUUGUUACAAUUUCUAAAUCACAAAACAAGCAUUUGUAUUUAUUAUGGAUCCCCAAGACAGCAGCUACUCUUCCUGGGGUCCGGCAAAAUUAAGGCAGAAUUUGUUAUAAGCAGUUUUUGGGAGUAUGUUUUUUCCUCCCUGCCCCUUCAUCCAACAAGUUGCUUGUCCAUCAAAAGUACACCUAAACAAUAUCAAAACUAUUUUCAAAUAAUAAUAAUAAUAAUAUUAAAUUGAGAAUACUCUGAUGGGUGACUUAUCGAUUGUGACUGAAAAGGCUGAAGAUCAGUGUGUAAUUUCGGUCUGGAGCAUCUUCUGUCUUAGUUUUCUUAACAAAAAUGUAACUUUUUUUUUUCAAAUCAUAAUUUCAAAUUGCAUACAGCCCAGAUGUUUAGAUUUUUAUAGACCAUCUGAAAGACGAGCUGCAUCUAUGUUUGCCAAACAACUACCAAUAAUUAGCGUAAGGACUCGGUUUUCACUUAUAUUUUUUACAGACGUGUUUCCACAGUGCGCACUCGUCCCAUCCUACUUUGUAAAAACUCCAUGUGUUUGAGUCCAAAGUUUGUUCAUG